rnacentral:rRNA from 1 species
UACGGGGGGAGCAAGCGUUGUUCGGAUUUACUGGGCGUAAAGGGCGCGUAGGCGGUCAGCACAAGUCAGUUGUGAAAUCUCCGGGCUUAACUCGGAAAGGUCAACUGAUACUGUGCGACUAGAGUGCGGAAGGGGCAACUGGAAUUCUCGGUGUAGCGGUGAAAUGCGUAGAUAUCGGGAGGAACACCUGAGGCGAAGGCGGGCUACUGGGCCGAUACUGACGCUGAUGUGCGAAAGCCAGGGAGCGAACGGG